GACGUAGGGCGCGAGCGUUGUCCGGAUUUAUUGGGCGUAAAGAGCUCGUAGGCGGCUUGGCAAGUCGGAUGUGAAAACUCCAGGCUCAACCUGGAGCCGCCAUUCGAUACUGCUAUGGCUAGAGUCCGGUAGGGGAGUGUGGAAUUCCCGGUGUAGCGGUGAAAUGCGCAGAUAUCGGGAGGAACACCGAUGGCGAAGGCAGCACUCUGGGCCGGCACUGACGCUGAGGAGCGAAAGCGUGGGGAGCGAACAGG
rnacentral:rRNA from 1 species